UACGUAGGGUGCGAGCGUUAAUCGGAAUUACUGGGCGUAAAGCGUGCGCAGGUGGUUUUGUAAGCCAGAUGUGAAAUCCCCGGGCUCAACCUGGGAAUGGCAUUUGGGACUGCAAGGCUAGAGUGUGGCAGAGGGGGGUGGAAUUCCGCGUGUAGCAGUGAAAUGCGUAGAGAUGCGGAGGAACACCGAUGGCGAAGGCAGCCCCCUGGGUUGACACUGACACUCAUGCACGAAAGCGUGGGGAGCAAACAGG
rnacentral:rRNA from 1 species